UACAGAGGGUGCAAACGUUGCUCGGAAUCAUUGGGCGUAAAGCGCACGUAGGCGGCUUAGCAAGUCGGAUGUGAAAUCCCUCGGCUCAACCAAGGAAGUGCAUCCGAAACUGCUGAGCUUGAGUACUUAAGAGGAUCGCGGAAUUCCCGGUGUAGAGGUAGAAAUUCGUAGAUAGUCGGGAGGAACAUCAGUGGCGAAGGCGGCGAUCUGGGAAGAUACUGACGCUGAGGUGCGAAAGCUAGGGUAGCAAACGGGG
rnacentral:rRNA from 1 species